ensembl:misc_RNA
UGGAUUGCUGCCUUGGGGAGAAUGAAGUCUUUUAUUUGUUGGCAGGCAUGCCAUGCUCGUGGUCCAUAGCUAUGUACCUUCCCCUGACCUGAAAGGACCACCUUUAAGGGUGAGAAAGUAGUUUAGUUUCUGUGCCUUUUUAAACUUGCCCUUU